rnacentral:tRNA from 1 species
UGGCCCAGUUGGUAGAGCAUGGUGUUUGCAACGCCAGGGUUGUGGGUUUGAUUCCCAC